UCCAAACCAGCGAACCCCGGGCCACCAAAGCGAACAUGUGCACUUAACUGCUACACCACCAGGCCGGCCCCCCUUCUCCCCCUUUUGCUCUAUAAAACCAAGCUCCCCUCUUGUUCUCCAGAUUUGCCUAUGGUUCACCAUAGUAUGCACAUCCCAAAUUGCAAUUCUUUUGGUUAUUCCUGAAUAAGCUCGUUGGAGAGUAAAAUAACAGGUGAGUUUGCUUUUUAAGUUGACAACUCUGUGUUUGGUUUUGGAGGUAGAGCUAUCCAGGUGUCACUACAGAAAUGGACGAUUAAACUGGAGUUGAGAUGGAGAAAUUAGAAUAGGAUAUGUCAAGUAGCUGUGAAAUUUGGAUGCAUUAGGUCAUCAGGGGGGAUAAUGAAGGCUUUCAAGAUGAAAAGGGGAAAGGAAAACAGUUGGUACCAAAGUCUUCAGUGAAUGUAGGAGAGAGACCUGGAAGUCGACAUUCAACAUUUGAGAGGGUGAUAAAAGUGAGUAGUGUGAACUUUGAAGAAAGAAGGGCCGUUGAGGGAAGAUGGUAAAAUAAUACUUUAAGGAUCCAAUGAAGAAGAUAUGAGAAGAUGGUGACCUGAUCUCGACUUAUGGAAAAGGGUGAGUAAAAGAAAGUGAGCAGCCUCCAACUAAGAGUUUUGCAAGGGAAACAGAAUUUGGGACACCCAGAGUUAAAGAGAGGAGAUAGAGGCUGAAUGGAUGAGCAAGGCCAAAGGCAAGAAAGUUUUAGGAAAUGGUGGAUAGUCCUUUCUUUUUUUUUUGUAAGCAGAGGGUGCAAUUAGGGGUGUAAUAGAAGAUAAUAUUGGAAUCUAUGUGAUUAGUUUGAAUCUAGAAUAUAACAGAAUCAUUAUAGUUAAAAUAUUAAUUAGGUGGUGUACUAAGGAAACCUUUUGAAGUUAUUUUGUUUAGAUCUUAGGGAAAUUUUGGAACUGGUAUUGGUAACUGGGAAGCAGUUUGACAGCUUUGGAAUACUUGGACUAUGACAAAUGUAAAAUUGGUGUAUAUUUGAUGUUAUUAAUGCCAUCAUUGGAACUGAAGUUGACAAUAGAUCAUAAUUUUGGUAGGAAUGUGGCCAGUAGACUGUGAUAAAUUUUGGUCUUUUUGUAAUUAGAAAAUUGGAGCUUUAAAAAUGUGUUGACUUUUUGGAAUAAUCUUUUUCUAUUCUUUUCCAGAACCAUCUGCAACCCACAAUAUAUAAAAGACUGUGUAAGAUCUACUUUAGUGUGAGGGUUUUGAUCUCAAAUGCCCUGACUCUGUUUGAUAUGAUUGUACCUCUGUAUAAGUAGGAUAUGUAGCUAGAAGCAUAGGAGAAGAGAAAAUGUGAAACAAAAAUGAGACUGAAUUGGAGACGUAGAGCUCCAGUUAUGAAAACCUUAAGAAGAUUAACUGCUGUGAUAGUAAUCUGGUAGAUUUUCAGUUCUGGCUAUCAUUUAUUAUGAACUGAAAGAACAGUGAAAUAAUUGGAUACUGAGGUGCGUAAUUGCUGGCAAUAGGGUGGAGGAGGAGAGUUGGUUAAUUGGCAAUGAGCCUUAUAGCUGUUUUUAUAUUAAUGCUGUCUAUUUGGUAUUGGUGGAUAACAGCAGAAAAAUUAUUUAUGGUCAUGCUGGGGACUUAUUACAUUGAUUUCUACUCUAAUAACAUGAAAGAGUUUAAUGGUUACUCUUAUAGAUGUAAUAUUUCUUUUUUUUUGUCAUUCUAGCAGCCAUCAGAAAAGAGACCACAAAAAAGCUAUUGCCUGUACAGUCCUGUUCAUCAUUUGUGACCUGAGAUAUUGAGCUCUUGGGUUGUCAGAAUUCCAGUUCAUGAGGCAGUCUGUGUCAUUCUGGUCUAGCCAGAGAGGUGAACGGAGUGGUAUGGGAGCAGAGAGGAUGGAGCAGUCGCUUGUGUGUGAUACACAUUGUCUGGAGCACGGUGGUUAAAGGUUCAGGCUUUGAAGGUGACCAGGGUGAUGUCUAAAAGAAGGCAGGAAGCUGUAGUAACACGCAAAGCAGACUUGCCUUUAGGGAAUGUUCUCCUUGGCUCUAGAUUCCAGACUUCAAUCUUUUCAUUCAACUUACAUUUUAUGAGUGCUUAUGCCAGAUUGCCCCUGAGCUGACAUCUGUGCCCAUCUUC